AUUGAUCUUUGAUCUUUGAUCUUGAUCUUUUUAACGAAAGGGUAUUUUUUGGGUGAAGCACUAGCAAUGAUAAAAUCUAACAAAAGGGAAUAGACCAAAAAAUGACGAACACCUGCCCCAACCGAAAGCCAAAGAAAUGUCUUUGCCAUUGGCCAUUUUCCACAGGCUUUACUUUUCAGUUAGGACUGCAUCCGUCUACCGAAACGAGCCCUUUGUGGCCUGAGUUCCUAAAUUUUUCCCCUCGCAUUUGCCCUUUUUAGCCGCACUGCGGUCAUUUGCAAGACCUGGCAACAUUCUCCACCACCUGUGUCAUCAAUUGCACCCGCAAAAUGGCCAAACAAUCAACAAGCAGCGCGACGGGUGUUGGGCCUGAACAAGAUUUCGAGUGUCUAAGCCCACCUUCAUAUCCAU
ensembl:ncRNA lncRNA:CR44693 long non-coding RNA:CR44693